rnacentral:lncRNA from 1 species
UUAGAUAGAUCGUCGAAUAAUCGAUGUGGUGAUUUCUAUUGAAUAUAAGGGUGUCAAGUAUUUUUGUGAUUAUACUUUUGAAAAUGCUGCACUCUUAGUUCAAGGAUGGGCUCGCUAUCCUAGUAAGAGAUGUAUCAAUAGAGAAAUAUUCGAUAGGGUUACAAUAAUUUCCCAUUUGUAUAGGAAUGGAUUUAUGCCAAACUACAAGCACUGGUACCCGCAUGGAGAGACGUAGGAAAUAAUUAUAAGGAUUAGAAGUUAGUAAGACAGGGACAUAGAUAGAAUGGUAGACAUGAUUAUAGAUGCUGCUAGUCC